ACAUAUGUUGUAUACAACAAUGUCUCCCUGUCCUCUUGCAACAAUCUAUCUCGACGAUCUGUCUACAUGCUUUAUUUGAUUGAAAGGGCAAAGAAAUGCUUAGAUUUUGCAGCCACCCUCUAUAUUAUCCAUCUUUCUAUAUGCACCAUAUAUGGAGGUUGGCCCUCCUCGGUAACAUGGUGGGUUGUCAAUGUUACUGGAUUUGAAAUGAUGGCUUUGCUGGGUAAAUAUUUAUGCAUUAGGCGGGAAAUGAGAGAGAUUCCAUGAUAUGGUUGAGGAAAUCGAAAGAGCUUGGAUAAUAAAGAUGAUGGAAAGCAAGUGUUUCGGAGUUCUGCACAUGAUGAAAAGCAGCCAUAAAGCUUGGAUAUUGGUGCUUAAAAGUAAAUCAUAUAUGCAGCUGAGCACACAAGGUAAGGUAUUUGUAGAGGAAGAUCUAAAUAUAUAAUUGAAAGUUACAAAGUUGAUAGUUUGUCUGAUACUAUUCUCUGACUUUAUCUGCAUAGUUUUGAUUGAUUUUUUCAUUCUUUAAUGAUAUUAUUUGAUUGAUUCUUUUUGGUCUGAAA